AUACGUAGGGGGCGAGCGUUGUCCGGAAUGACUGGGCGUAAAGGGCGUGUAGGCGGCGGUGUAAGUCUGGAGUGAAAGUCCCGCAUUCAAUGUGGGAAUUGCUUUGGAUACUGCAGUGCUAGAGUGCGGAAGGGGUAAGUGGAAUUCCCAGUGUAGCGGUGAAAUGCGUGAGAUUGGGAGGAACACCAGUGGCGAAGGCGACUUACUGGGCCGUAACUGACGCUGAGGCGCGAAAGCGUGGGGAGCGAACAGGAUUAGAUACCCUGGUAGUCCACGCGGUAAACGAUGAAUGCUAGGUGUUGCGGGUAUCGACCCCUGCAGUGCCGGAGUAAACACAAUAAGCAUUCCGCCUGGGGAGUACGGCCGCAAGGUUGAAACUCAAAGGAAUUGGCGGGG
rnacentral:rRNA from 1 species